GAUGAACGCUAGCUACAGGCUUAACACAUGCAAGUCGAGGGGCAGCACUGGGAUUGCUUGCAAUCCCUGGUGGCGACCGGCGAAUGGGUGAGUAACGCGUAUCCAACCUGCCCCGUGCCCGGGAAUAGCCCUUGGAAACGAGGAUUAACGCCCGAUGGCGUGCCGGUACCGCAUGGCGCCGGCACUAAAUGUGAAGGCAUGGGAUGGGGAUGCGUUCCAUUAGGUUGUUGGCGGGGUAACGGCCCACCAAGCCCGCGAUGGAUAGGGGUUCUGAGAGGAAGGUCCCCCACAUUGGAACUGAGACACGGUCCAAACUCC
rnacentral:rRNA from 1 species